UCUCCGUAGGUGAACCUGCGGAGGGAUCAUUACAGAGUUCAUGCCCUACCGGGUAGAUCUCCCACCCUAUGUUAUUAUCACUUUGUUGCUUUGGCGGGCCGUUAGGCUCCGGCCCGACUACCGGCCCCGGCUGGUAAGCGCCCGCCAGAGGACCCAAAACCCUGAAUAUUAGUGUCGUCUGAGUACUAUAUAAUAGUUAAAACUUUCAACAACGGAUCUCUUGGUUCUGGCAUCGAUGAAGAACGCGGC
rnacentral:misc_RNA from 1 species